AGUGGCGAACGGGUGAGUAAUAUAUCGGAACGUGCCCAGUCGUGGGGGAUAACGUAGAGAAAUUUACGCUAAUACCGCAUACGAUCUACGGAUGAAAGCGGGGGAUUCGCAAGAACCUCGCGCGAUUGGAGCGGCUGAUAUCAGAUUAGGUUGUUGGUGAGGUAAAAGCUCACCAAGCCGACGAUCUGUAGCUGGUUUGAGAGAACGACCAGCCACACUGGGACUGAGACACGGCCCAGACUCCUACGGGAGGCAGCAGUGGGGAAUUUUGGACAAUGGGCGAAAGCCUGAUCCAGCAAUGCCGCGUGCAGGAAGAAGGCCUUCGGGUUGUAAACUGCUUUUGUACGGAACGAAACGGCCUUUUCUAAUAAAGAGGGCUAAUGACGGUACCGUAAGAAUAAGCACCGGCUAACUACGUGCCAGCAGCCGCGGUAAUACGUAGGGUGCGAGCGUUAAUCGGAAUUACUGGGCGUAAAGCGUGCGCAGGCGGUUCUAUAAGACAGAUGUGAAAUCCCCGGGCUCAACCUGGGAAUGGCAUUUGUGACUGUAGAGCUAGAGUACGGUAGAGGGGGAUGGAAUUCCGCGUGUAGCAGUGAAAUGCGUAGAUAUGCGGAGGAACACC
rnacentral:rRNA from 1 species